CACGUAGGGUGCGAGCGUUGUCCGGAAUUAUUGGGCGUAAAGAGCUCGUAGGCGGUGUGUCGCGUCGGCCGUGAAAACCUGCAGCUUAACUGUGGGCGUGCGGUCGAUACGGGCAUCACUGGAGUUCGGCAGGGGAGACUGGAAUUCCUGGUGUAGCGGUGAAAUGCGCAGAUAUCAGGAGGAACACCGGUGGCGAAGGCGGGUCUCUGGGCAAUAACUGACGCUGAGGAGCGAAAGCGUGGGGAGCGAACAGG
rnacentral:rRNA from 1 species